GCGGACGGGUGAGUAACGCGUAUGCAACCUACCUAUUGCAGGAAGAUAGCCCGAGGAAACUCGGAUUAAUAUUCCAUAAUAUCAUUUUUACACAUGUAUUAAUGAUUAAAGCUACGGCGGCAAUAGAUGGGCAUGCGUACCAUUAGCUAGUUGGUGAGGUAACGGCUCACCAAGGUUACGAUGGUUAGGGGGUCUUAAAGGAUGAUCCCCCACACUGGUACUGAGACACGGACCAGACUCCUACGGGAGGCAGCAGUGAGGAAUAUUGGGCAAUGGACGCAAGUCUGACCCAGCCAUGCCGCGUGCAGGAUGACUGCUCUAGUAGUUGUAAACUGCUUUUCUAUUUCAUGAACCCCUCUGACGUGUCAGGGGCUGACAGUAGAAUAGGAAUAAGCAUCGGCUAACUCCGUGCCAGCAGCCGCGGUAAUACGGAGGAUGCAAGCGUUAUCCGGAUUUACUAGGUUUAAAGGGUGCGUAGGCGGGGUAUCAAGUCAGUGGUGAAAUCCUGCAGCUCAACUGUAGAACUGCCAUUGAAACUGAUAUUCUUGAGUAUAGUUGAGGUAGGCGGAAUGUGUUAAGUAGCGGUGAAAUGCAUAGAGAUAACACAGAACACCGAUUGCGAAGGCAGCUACUAAACUAUUACUGACGCUGAGGUACGAAAGCGUGGGGAGCGAACAGGAUUAGAUACCCUGGUAGUCCACGCCGUAAACGUUGAUCACUAGUUGUUUGCGAUACAUUGUGAGCGACUGAACAAAAGCAUUAAGUGAUCCACCUGGGGAGUACGUUGGCAACGAUGAAACUCAAAGGAAUUGACGGGGGCCCGCACAAGCGGAGGAACAUGUGGUUUAAUUCGAUGAUACGCGAGGAACCUUACCUGGGCUUAAAUGUAAGACGACUAACAGGGAAACUUGUUAUCUUUCGAGCGUCCUACAAGGUGCUGCAUGGUUGUCGUCAGCUCGUGCCGUGAGGUGUCGGGUUAAGUCCCAUAUCGA
rnacentral:rRNA from 1 species